CUAUCACUCAGGACGAUUGGAGGGGGCAUUUCCAUUAAGGGGGCAGCGAUGGGAAACAGGAUUCCUGGGCUUGCACGCGGAAUCCCAUUUGCACGCGGCUAAGGAGUUGAAAGCGCAGGACCCGGUUUGCAAGCAGAGGAGGGCGAGCUGGGAGUGGAAGGAUCCGGACACUCGAAGGGAAAGACUAACAGACCGUAAUGAUCCGAAUCCACGUCUUGGAGGGAAAGGCUUUUGUGUGGAAUUGCGCUGAUGUGCAACGUAUCCGAGAGGAGCAUCGCAUUGUUGGCACGCUGGUUGGGGCAUUGGCUCGGAAGCCACGGCAGAAUGUGCGGCUGGGUCUUCCCCUCCAGUUGCUGCCGGAAGAGGCCCGGCUGUUGUUGGAGAAAGAUGUGGCCACCUUGAUUAAAAACCCAUCUUCCAAGCCCUUUGCAGAUGAUGCAGAACAGGAUCCCCUAUUCUUGGAGGCAGUGGCUGCCUACCAAGAGGAGCAAGAGGAGAGCUACAUGGAACAGCUGAGGCUGGCGGCUGAACAGAGGAAGGCCCUGCUGGGCUCCCUGGCUGAACGCAUCGCGCAGGGUCGGGCAAAGAAACAGCAGCAGAAAGGGGAAGGAGGAGAGCCUCUGUCAAAACCUGCAGAUCCGGAAUCUAGUUUUGUGUUUCCCCGGGAAUCUAUGAUGGUCCAGCUUCCCACAGAGCGGACCUGGCUGGGUCAAGAAGAGGUCGACUGGCACCUGCCCUCCAAAGAGUGGCCUUAUGGUGGACAACCGGAACAUGAGAUGCGUUACUGUGUUUUCCAGAGCCUUUGGGAACAAGGCUACUAUAUCACCAGUGGGAGCAAAUUUGGGGGCGACUUCCUUGUUUAUCCAGGUGACCCAAUGAGGUUCCAUGCCCAUUACAUCGCCCUCUGUGUGACUCGAGAUGCACCCCUUUCCUUGUGUGACAUCAUCAGUGUGGGACGGCUUGGCACCAGCGUCAAAAAGACUGUUCUUCUUUGCUCGGUGGACCAGGAUGGGACUGUAGUGUACACAUCCCUGCAGUGGAGCGGGAUGCAGUGAGAAAUAGACUGGCCAUUAUUAAGGUAUUCAGAUAACACUGCUGAGCUCUAGGCCAGCCAUUCCAACAAUGGAGAGGGGCUGGUAUUCCUCAGCGAAGGUUGCUCUAGGCCACCUUGCUCACACUUGGCCUUUAUCAACAUUUCCAUUGCAUAAACGGUUGCAAUAAUUCUUAGGGGGGUCCUUGUACAGCCAACCUCUUCCAGGGGCACCUACAGAGAGCUCCAUUUUGGAAAGAGUUAAGACUAUUUCUACCAGGCUGCCAUGAACAACCCUGCCACGAUCUAGAGACUCCCGUCCCUCAAUGCUGAAACUCAGCCACUGGACACAGGCAGCUAAAAUGUAUUACUGGAGUUUAUUAAAGAACGAACAUAGGAGCGUAUGUAAACCAGGAAUCACUCUUUAAAGACAUUUAGAUAAGGCACAAAAACAAUUUAUCCUCAGAUCAACCCUGCAAGGUAGGUCAGACUGAAGUGUGUAACUGGGACAGCAAUAGGGCAAUAAGACUGCAUACAAUUCUACAUGCCCCAAAGCAACUAC